AUUGAACGCUGGCGGCAUGCCUUACACAUGCAAGUCGAACGGCAGCACGGGAGCAAUCCUGGUGGCGAGUGGCGAACGGGUGAGUAAUGUAUCGGAACGUACCUUUCAGUGGGGGAUAACGUAGCGAAAGUUACGCUAAUACCGCAUAUUCUGUGAGCAGGAAGGCAGGGGAUCGCAAGACCUUGCGCUGAUUGAGCGGCCGAUAUCAGAUUAGCUAGUUGGUGAGGUAAAGGCUCACCAAGGCGACGAUCUGUAGCGGGUCUGAGAGGAUGAUCCGCCACACUGGAACUGAGACACGGUCCAGACUCCUACGGGAGGCAGCAGUGGGGAAUUUUGGACAAUGGGCGCAAGCCUGAUCCAGCCAUGCCGCGUGAGUGAAGAAGGCCUCGGUUG
rnacentral:rRNA from 1 species